UUUUGAACUGCUGCAUCUGGAGCAUCACUGUGGCAGGGAGACCAGCCAGCAGCCUCACAAUGCCAAAAACUCACUGGGCUGUUGUCAUGAGUGUAGAGGGUAGCACUGGUAGGAGCUCACCUGAUUCUGACAUGCAAUCACUUUCCUGAUUACAUUGGAGCCAUCAUUGGGGUUGAGGCCAGUUUUGACAAAAGAUCUGUUUCUUUGCUGUACUCAAGACAAAUGUGUAUACAUUUAACUGGGAGUAAGUUCUUUUCCUCGUUUGGUGUUUGUUUUUUCCUUGUUAUUUUGUUCAUAGUUGCCUAAGUUAUGUAUGUGUGCACAUAGGCACAUCCUAUCUGUAUAUGUGCACCUGUCAUAUGUUUAUAUAUAAGCUUAAGUAUACACAGAGUAUGUGUGCAUGUACAGAUAUAUACCUGUGCAUGGAUGCUGACAGGUCUGUUCAUUCAAUAUAUGAAACAGUGAAAGCACAAUGCUUGUCAAUGCAUAUAUAUUCAGAAAAAGUGUAAUAAAUUGAUAAUAUGUAUGGAAACAAUCAGAAAUUGCUUGACGUACAUAUAAUAGGAAACCCAGCUACCUGGAUAGAUUCUGUUAGAAUGAAAUCCAAUCUAAAUUAUUUUUCUUCUGUAAGUUCUAUUUACAGUCUGCAAUUUUUUAACCUUUAUCAUACAAUAUUUCAUAGAACCAAAAGCUGGCUAAGGUAGGUUGGUAUCAAAAGGGUUAAAGAAUUUAAAGGUGCAACUGUACAAGGUUUCUAAGUUUUUUUAACAGAAUACAGAUAUUAUUGACACACUAGCUAGCCCAGUACCAUCAAAAAUGACAGCUAAUUGUAAUAUUUUAUAUAUAAAUAUGGAUGGUAAAUCAAAUUAAUACACUUGUCAAUGAUAACUAGUGGUUGUCUUUGAGAUGUAACAUCAAUCAUCAUUUGUUACUGAAAGGAUGCUAGUUCACAUAUUCAAACAUUCACAUACUUCCCUUGUACACACACACACACACACACAUACAUUUACUCACACAGAGUUGAAACACUGUUUGAUUUUUCUUUUCAGAGUUGAAUGUUCACCAUCUCACACACACACACACAAACAUUCACAUACCUCCCUUUUACAUACACACACAUAUACUCACACAGAGUUGAAACGCUUCCACUAACAGUUUGCUAUCACCACUUCCUUUCUCAUUCAUAUGUUGUGACGGAGAAAAAUACAAGAGUAUUAUUAUACUCAGACAGUACAAGGGAGGUAAUUGUUUCAUAAUAUUUGGUGGGAUUAGAAGUCUGAAUUUGAAAUUUAAGAAUGAGGAAGGAAACGUAUAGAAUAGAAAUUUUUUUUUUUUUUUUUUUUGCUGACUUAUUACAAAGUUUAUAAAAUUUCUAGUCUUUAGUAGUUUGUCAAGAAGCAGAAAAAAGUGGAAUUUUGUAGGCAAUUUUUAGUUUUUCAGUUUCUGUAAAAACCCAUUUGUCAAUUUUUAGCCCAAGUUCAGCUCUGACUGAGAUCUGCAGUCAAUGAUGAUUCUGAUAGUAUAUGAUCAAAACUAGUAUAAUAUAUAUAUAUAUAUAUAUAUAUAUAUAUAUAUAUAUAUAUAUACCUGCAUAAUUCAAUAUCUUUUUUUUUUCUUUUUAAGAGGAAGUGAUUUGAGAGAAUACAUCUGUUAUAUCUAGCAAGUUGACUGCUGAUUGUGAAAGCCUCUCUCAUUGGCUCAUGUAAGGAUGAAAUAUUGAGAGGUGACAUUUAAAUUGUGUCAAUCUAAUAAAACCAAAAGAAUAUUGGUCCUUAGAGCUAAAGAUGAUGUGUCAUUCCAUAGCUUUUAAAAUAAAAUAAAAAAAGAAAAGAAAAACACACUGAUGUACUUUAAAUCAUAGGUAGAGUAAAUGCUUAGAGAUUUGAAGAAAAUGAAAAAUUCUUAGAAAUAACAAUAAUAAUAAUUUUCACUGCAUGAAAGAAAAAAAAUGUUGAAAUGAUUUGUGUCAAAAAUUAAAGAAUGAAGUAAAAUACAAAAUAAAACAAAAACAGGAGAAGGUAGAGGCAAAACAAGACUUUAAAAAAUGUAAAAAAACUAGCAUAAAACAAAAGAUUAUCAUAGCUCUAUUGUAAAGUGUGCGUGACUUUUCAUCAGCUGAGAAGACACAUGAAAAAAGGAAUAAAAUUGAAAAAAGUUGCCAGCCGCUAUAAUUAAUGCACACUUCAGUCUCCAAGACAAGCAGUGUAAUUCUUUAUUUUUCUUCAAUUUACUUUUUUCCUGUUAAGGUUCUAAUUUGAAUUGAUAAAAUAUUAUUUGUAAGAUUGAGAGGAAUAAAAGCAAGCUAUUUUCAACACAUUUAUUUUUUUUAAACAAAAUACUGCUAAUGAGUAAAUUACAGACUGUUAAUCUGUCCUAAUAUUUAUUUUGAAAUAACCAAAUAUUAGUUAAAUCGAAAUCUUAAAAUUGUAUCCAUAUUGUUUGUGAUCAAGAGUUUUUGAACAUCUACCAUAUUCUAAUUUUAAAAAAUCAAGAGAUUUUUAUAUUUUCAUUUAACCCAAAUGUCAGAAUUUUAAUGAAUUUCCGUGGUUCAUGUGUGUGUGUGUGUGUGUGUGUGUGUGUGUGUGUGUGUGUGUGUGUGAAUGUUUAUAUUAAACAAUUUCAAUUCUGAUUAGUAAUUAAUGAUAUUUGCCUCACAAUCACCAUUCCUCCUUCCUAACAUCCACCUCUUGACCAUCAUAAAGUCCAUGUACUGAAAGAUAGCAUCAUGUUAGGAACUAGCUACAUGGUUUCCCCUAUUACAUUCAGACUUCCUUUUCUAUUCCUCUCUCUCUCAUCAGUCCCUCUCAUAUCACUCAUUGUUGACAUCCAUCCCUUUCUCUUUCCCAUGCUCUCUCUCUCUCUCUCUCACUCUUUCAUAUAUAUAUAUAUACAUUACUCCCACUUUCAGCACCCCACCCUCAACUCAUGUUGUUUUUAUCCAACAGCCUUAUCAACAAUCAUUGUAUAGCUGUCUAUCACUCUUUGUUUCACUCUUCCUUUAUUCUCUGCUCUGUCACCCUCUCAAUCCUAUUACUCUGGUUCUUUUCCAUUACUUUCUCCAACAUCAUUCUCUUACUGGCUCUUUUUUGUCACUCUUCUACCUGCAGAGAACAAGCCAACCCUCUGGUACUGGUAGACAAAUGAAUGGAGACAACAUAGGGUAGAGAGAACUGUUUAGUCUUACAGAGAACAUAACAACCUCUGUAGUGUUGGUGCCAUAGUAAAAAGCACUCUCCACACACUGUAAAGUGGUUAUCUACAGAAUAAAAUGUCAAAAAUGGAAUAGGCAAGAGAGAUGUGGUGCCCAACCUAUCUCAUUUAUACAUGAUACCCUGAUUCAGUCCACAACAACCUGUACAUGCAAGCAGGGAAAGUAAACAUUAAGUAAUAAUGAUGAUGAUAUAACCGUUGGAAACAAGCCAAUAUAGGGGUAGUCAUUGUGUCAAAAGACUUGUUAAAAAUAGCAACUCUAUCUCCCUCAAACUAUAUCCUGCCAUCCAUCUUAAGAUACAUUUGAUAACCUAAUACUGAAUGCAGUGUCUAAAAAACAAAAAUUAAAAAGAUGGGAUGAUUAUAGUUGCAAUAACUUUUGAUUACAGAUGUGCUUGA
rnacentral:lncRNA from 1 species